GCAAGAGAAGGGUUAGAGAUAUGAAUUCGGCAUUGCUGUCAAAAUAAGAGAGAUGGUGCAUUGGAAGAGGCGGUCUCUCUCUUCAAAGGCCCCUGUUCGGUUGAGGAGCUUGAGAUCUUGUGUCAUUAGAAAUUGAGAACACUCCUGGUGUCUUUGUUGUGUUGAGCUCAAGCCCAUUCCUUGUAUGAUUCUUAUCAGAAAUUGGGACAUUGCCAGUCUCUUGCUUAUGCGCACUGAUUCAGAGCAGUAUCGACGUUUUGCACCUUUUGGUGAUUGGUCUUAUGUUCUUUUUUCUUUUGAAGUGGAUCUUAUAUUUUGACAGAGCAGACUUCCAAGUUUGUUUGCUAAGUCAUUUGAGUAAAGAUCUACAUGAAUACAUGAUCAGCAAGGUGAAACUCAUUU